CCCUUAGAUGUUCUGGGCCGCACGCGCGCUACACUGAUGCAUUCAACAAGCCUAGCCUUGACCGAGAGGUCCGGGUAAUCUUUGAAACUGCAUCGUGAUGGGGCUAGAUUAUUGCAAUUAUUAAUCUUCAACGAGGAAUGCCUAGUAAGCGUGAUUCAUCAAAUCGCGUUGAUUACGUCCCUGCCCCUUGUACACACCGCCCGUCGCUGCCCGGAACUGAGCCGUUUCGAGAAAGCCGGGGACUGACGGCUUGUGGGUGCGCAAGCGCUUCUUGCCGAUGGAAACCAGUUUAAUCGGUAUGGCUUGAACCGGGCAAAAGUCGUAACA
rnacentral:rRNA from 1 species